UUCCGGAAACGUUGUAUUGUCUUAACCAUGAUUGUUGUGAUGAUUACAUGUAUCAGCCUCUUUUGGCGUUUGAAUCCAAAGUAAAAGGAUCACAAAUUGAAAGCUCUUCGACUUCGUUUUAUUUUCAAUAUAGAUCAAUAUAUAUACUUGUCUUUAGUCCCCCAAACCUAAGUCAGGUAUAUUAAUUGGUGGAGGACCCGGUCCGGACCCGGUCCCCCAAACCUAAGUCAGGUAUAUUACAUUUCUGGCG
rnacentral:lncRNA from 1 species